rnacentral:rRNA from 1 species
GAUGAACGCUGGCGGCGUGCUUAACACAUGCAAGUCGAGCGAAGCGAUUUUAAGGAAGCCUUCGGGUGGAAUUAAAAUUGACUUAGCGGCGGACGGGUGAGUAACGCGUGGGUAACCUGCCUCAUACAGGGGGAUAACAGUUAGAAAUGACUGCUAAUACCGCAUAAGCGCACAGUGCUGCAUAGCACAGUGUGAAAAACUCCGGUGGUAUGAGAUGGACCCGCGUCUGAUUAGGUAGUUGGUGAGGUAACGGCCCACCAAGCCGACGAUCAGUAGCCGACCUGAGAGGGUGACCGGCCACAUUGGGACUGAGACACGGCCCAAACUCCUACGGGAGGCAGCAGUGGGGAAUAUUGGACAAUGGGGGAAACCCUGAUCCAGCGACGCCGCGUGACUGAAGAAGUAUUUCGGUAUGUAAAGGUCUAUCAGCAGGGAAGAAAAUGACGGUACCUGACUAAGAAGCCCCGGCUAACUACGUGCCAGCCGCCGCCGUAA